AUGGUGGCGGCGGCGCCGUGCGCCGCGCGGAGGUCGUUCAGGGACUCGCUCAAGGUGCUGGAGGCGGACAUCCAGCACGCCAACACCCUGGCGUCCGAGUGCUCGCGGGACUACGACGGGGCGUGCCUGCAGAUGCGCAUGUCCUACAGCCCCGCCGCGCGCCUCUUCCUCUUCCUCCUGCAGUGGACCGACUGCAGCCUCGCCGGCGCCCUCGGCCUCCUCAGGAUCCUCAUCUACAAGGUCUAUGUGGACGGCACAACAACCAUGUCCACCCACGAAAGGAAGGCCAGCAUCAGGGAAUUCUACGCUGUGAUAUUCCCCUCCCUCAUGCAACUGGAGCACGGGAUAAGCGACUCCGACGACCGGAGGCAGAGGGCGGCGUGCUCAGAGCGAUACAGGAGGAGAGACGAGCCAGAGGACAGCAAGAGGCCGGUCUCCGAGAUCGACGCCGAGAUAGAGGAGGAGUGCGGGAUCUGCAUGGAGCUCAACAGCAGGGUCGUGCUGCCCAACUGCAGCCAUGACAUGUGCAUCAAGUGCUACCGUCAAUGGCGCUCGAGAUCUCAGUCAUGCCCCUUCUGCCGAGACAGCCUCAAGAGAGUAAACUCCGGCGAUCUAUGGAUGCUCACCGACCAGCGCGACGUCGUCGACAUGGCGACGGUGACGAGGGAGAACAUCAGGCGCCUCUUCACGUACAUCGAGAAGCUGCCUCUCGUCACGCUGGACAACAUCUUCGAUGCCUAUGAUUCCCAUAGGAUGUUCCUUGUCCUAGGAUGUGGCUGA
rnacentral:rRNA from 1 species